rnacentral:misc_RNA from 1 species
UCGCGGCUUAUCACCGGCAGUCCCCUUAGAGUGCCCAACUGAAUGAUGGCAACUAAGGGCGAGGGUUGCGCUCGUUGCGGGACUUAACCCAACACCUCACGGCACGAGCUGACGACAGCCAUGCAGCACCUGUGCACCAUCUCGAUUCGACGAGUCGUCCCCCUUUCAGGGUUCUACUGGGUGCAUGUCAAGCCUAGGUGAGGUUCUUCGCGUUGCAUCGAAUUAAACCACACGCUCCGCUGCUUGUGCGGGUCCCCGUCAAUUCCUUUGAGUUUUAAUCUUGCGACCGUACUCCCCAGGCGGGGCACUUAAUGCGUUAGCUACGGCGCCGGGGGAGUCGACACCCCCAACACCUAGUGCCCAUCGUUUACGGCGUGGACUA